GAUUUCGGAAGGUCUUUAGUGGUCCGCCCCUUCGGGGAGCGGGUCACUGGCCUCCUAUGUUCCUAACGGUCCUCAUCCGCGAGGGUGGGGAAUCAACCGCUAGGAUCGUUUACUUUGAGGAAAUUAGAGUGUUCAAAGCAGGCGUAACUCGCCUCCGAAUACGUUAGCAUGGGAUAAUGGAAUACGACUUCGGUCUUGUUUCGUUGGUUUCGCUUGGCUGAAGUAAUGAUUGAUAGGGACAGUUGGGGGCAUUAGUAUUUAGUUGUCAGAGGUGAAAUUCUAGGAUUUACUAAAGACUGACCAAUGCGAAAGCAUUUGCCAAGGAUGUUUUCAUUAAUCAAGAACGAAAGUAGGGGGAUCGAAGACGAUCAGAUACCGUCGUAGUCUCUACCGUAAACUAUGCCGACCAGGGAUCCGGAGAGUUUGCAUGGAUGACUCCCCGGGCACCUUGUGAGAAAUCAUAAGUGUUUGGGUUUUGGGGGGAGUAUGGUCGCAAGGCUGAAACUUAAAGGAAUUGACC
rnacentral:rRNA from 1 species